AUUGAACGCUGGCGGCAGGCCUAACACAUGCAAGUCGAGCGGACGAAGGGGGCGUUCUCCUGGAUUCAGCUAGGGACGGGUGAGUAAUGACUAGGAAUCUGCCUUGUAGUGGGGGAUAACGUCCGGACAGGGGCGCGAAUACAGCAUAGGUCCAGAGGGAGAAAGGGGGGGAUCAUCGGUGCACACGGUACCAGCUGACACUAAGUCGGAUUAGCUAGUUGGUGUGGUAAAGGCCUACCAAGGCGACGAUCCCUAACUGCUCUGAGAGGAUGAUCAGCCACACUGGAACUGAGACACGGUCCAGACUCCUACGGGAGGCAGCAGUGGGGAAUAUUGGACAAUGGGCGAAAGCCUGAUCCAGCAAUGCCGCGUGUGUGAAGAAGGUCUUCGGAUUGUAAAGCACUUUUAGUUGGGAGGAACAUAAGUAAGUUAAUCCCUUGCUGUUUUGACGUUACCAACAGAAUAAGCCCCGGCUAACUUCGUG
rnacentral:rRNA from 1 species